AUUUACGUUAAUGCAUUCGGUGGAUACCUAGAAAUCGGUUAGCGAUGAAGGACGUGGUUAACUGCGAAAAGUCAUGAGGAGCUGUAAACAAGCAAAGAUGCAUGAAUUUCCGAAUGGAAUAAUCCAUCUCUUAAGAGAUAUCUUUAACCUAAUUCAUAAGUUAAAGAGGCUUACUCAGGGAACUGAAACAUCUAAGUACCUGAAGGAAAAGAAAAUAAAAUGAUUCCGUCAGUAGCGGUGAGCGAAAGCGGAGUAGGCAUACUUAUCUUUAUGAUGAGUAUAUUAAUGAAUAAUCACAAUUGAAUUCCAAUGGAAAGUGGAACCCAUAGAAAGUGAUAGGCUUGUAAAUCAAAAUUAUUCAUUAAUUAUUAAGUAGGGCGUAACACGUGUAAUUACGUCUGAAGACAGGAGGACUAACUCCUAAGCCUAAAUAUAACUGAUUAUCGAUAGUGAACAAGUACCGUGAGGGAAAGGUGAAAUAGAACCCUAUAAAUGGGAGUGAAAUAGAUCUUGAAACUGAAUGUUAACAACAAGAUACUGGCAUUUUAUAUGCCAUAUCGUACCUUUUGUAGAAGGGACCAACAAGUUAAUCUGCACUAGCAAGCUUAAGCCAUUAGGUGUAGGCGCAGCGAAAGCGAGUCUUAAAAGGGCGCAAGUUAUGCAGGUUAGACCCGAAACCAGGUGAUCUACUUAUGAACAGAUCGAAGUGAAAGUAAUAUUUCAUGGAGGAUCGAACCGGUUGCUGAAAGCAAUAGCAUCGGAUGAUUUGUGAGUAGUGGUGAAAUGCUAUUCGAACCUGGAGAUAGCUGGUUCUUCGCGAAAAAUAUUUAAGUAUUGCGUCAUACAAUAGGUGUCAGGGGUAAAGCACUAGGUAAAUGAUGGUCCUUAACCGGAUACUGAUUUUACUUAAACUCUGAAUACUGAUACCAGAAUUAUGGCAGUCAGACUGGCGGUGAGAAGGUUGUCAGUCGAGAGGGAAACAACCCAGACUACAGUAUAAGGGCCCAAAACAGAUCUAAGUGCAAAUUGCAAGGAGGUUAGAAAUCUAAUACAAUCAGGGUGUAGGCUUAGAAGCAGCCAUCACUUAAAAAGUGCGUAAUAGCAAACUGAUCUAGGAUUUCUUGCGCCGAAAAUUUAGAGGGGCUAAGAUCUGUCCCGAAGACGUAGGCAGGAAUAACAAACAAAUUAUUAUACCUGCGGUAGCGAAGCGUUCUGUAAGACUGUGAAGGGAAUCUAUGAGGAUUCCUGGAGUUAUCAGAAGUGAGGAUGUUGGUACAAGUAGCGUAAACGUUAAUGAGAAAUUUUCGAGCCGAAAAUCCAAGGUUUCCUACGCAACUUGAUUAGGCGUAGGGUUAGUCGGUGCCUAAGGCGAGGGUGAAAACCGUAGUCGAUGGAAAGACUGUUAAUAUUCAGUCACUUUAUUGAAGGACAGGGUGGUAAUCUUGUGUAUGUUUGAAUGACACGUGGCAUAUGCCACGUGUCAUUCAAACAUACACAAGAUUACCACCCUGUCCUUCAAUAAAGUGACUGAAUAUUAACAGUCUUUCCANAAAUUGUAAGCCGUACCGCAAACUGACUCUAGUGGAUGGGUAGAGAAUACUAAGGCUCUUGAGAUAAAGAUAGUUAAGGAACUCGGCAAAAUACUUUCGUAACUUCGGGAGAAGAAAGGCUUACUUUUGGGCAACCAUUUGUAAGUGGCACAAAACUGGUGAUCGCGACUGUUUAUCAAAAACACAGGGACCUGCCAAAUCGUAAGAUGAUGUAUAGGUUCUGACGCCUGCCCAGUGCUGAUAAGUGAAGGUUGGGGAGACCCGAUUUAAGCCUCAGUAAACGGCAGUCGUAACUGUAACGAUUCAAAGGUAGCGAAAUUCCUUGUCAAUUAAUUUUUGACCUGCAUGAAUGGCGUAACGACGUUCACACUGUCUCAACUAUCUGCUCAGCGAAAAUAGAGUUCCGGAGAAUAUACCGGAUACUUGCAGCAAGAGGAAAAGACCCUAUGAACCUUUACUGUAGGUUUGUAUUGAAUUGAAUUCUGUUAUGUAUAGAAUAGAUGGGAGAGUAUUAGGAACUACGUGUUUCUUUUAUUCGUCAGUGGAAUACCAUCCUUAAUAGACUUUACUUCUUACUUUGAACGAUGAAACUCGUCAAAGGAAAAUGCAUGCUGGGCAGUUUUGUUGGGAUGACAGCCUCCUAAAGAGUAACGGGGGCGUACAAAGGUAGGCUCAGGUUGGACAGAAAUCAACCGAUGAGUGUAAUGGCAUAAGCCUGCUUAACUGUGAGAGAUACAACUCAAACAGAAGCGAAAGCUGGUCAUAGUGACCCGGUCUUCCUAUUUAGAAAAGGAGAUCGAUCAACGGAUAAAAGGUACUCUAGGGAUAACAGAGUAAUAUCCCCCGCGAGUUCGCAUCUACGGGGAUGCUUACUACUUCGAUGUCGACUU
rnacentral:rRNA from 1 species